GAGGAAUAUUGGGCAAUGGGCGAAAGCCUGACCCAGCCACGCCGCGUGAGUGAUGAAGGCCUUCGGGUCGUAAAGCUCUGUGGAGAGGGACGAAAACCCUGGUUUCAAAUAGGCUCCAGGCUUGACGGUACCUCUUUAGCAAGCACCGGCUAACUCUGUGCCAGCAGCCGCGGUAAUACAGAGGGUGCAAACGUUGCUCGGAUUUACUGGGCGUAAAGCGCGUGUAGGCGGGUUCGCAAGUCGGACGUGAAAGCCCUGGGCUCAACCCAGGAACUGCGUUCGAAACUGCGAAUCUAGAGUAGUGGAGAGGAAAGUAGAAUUCCCGGUGUAGAGGUGAAAUUCGUAGAUAUCGGGAGGAAUACCAGUGGCGAAGGCGGCUUUCUGGACACUUACUGACGCUGAGACGCGAAAGCGUGGGGAGCAAAC
rnacentral:rRNA from 1 species